rnacentral:tRNA from 1 species
UGCUCCAUGGUGUAAUGGCAGCACGACGCCCUUUGGAGGCGUUUGUCUAGGUUCGAGUCCUAGUGGAGCAGCAA